UGUUAAUUUAAAUUUCGAUAAUAUCGUUUCCUAUAUUUUGUGGUAAAAUUAACCUCAAAUAGUUAUUUACUUUUUUCAUUAUUAAAAUGAACAUUUUUUUGUAAUUCUUCUUGCUCUUACAAGUUCAAAAUAAGAAAAUGGAAUUUCAAUUGAAAGCUUCAUUCAUGGAAUCGUCGCAAGUUCGGUCUGGCUUUUGGGUAAAAUCGAGGGUAAAAUGGAACUUAUCGCUCUGGUUCAGCCGAUCCGAAGAAGGAAGAAGGAGAAAAGGGAGUUUGAAAUGUAAAGCUAGGUCUGGACAUUACUGUUGAAAGAGAUAUGCAGUGCUCAUAUAGCAGUUAGCAUAAUUAAGACUCACUUUACAUUACCAGAUCAAAAGUCUUGGGUUACUUUCGAAGUGCAAUUGAUGGUAAACUGAAUCCAAUACAAAAAGUUCCAUAAGAAACUUGAGAUAAGUACUAACGGAAGAUCCUUGUAGGUAGAUUUACAAAAGCGGACACAUUCUGCCAAGGGGGACAAGAAACGUUAAAGUUGCUUACAAAUGCGUAGCAGAUAUUCAGUGAUCAGGACAUUCCAUUCAUCACAAGAAGCAAACGAAUAUUAUUCGAUGUUGUAGUAUCAAUUUUGUUUAUCCGUAGUAUAAGGUUAUGCAUGCACAAAUUCGCUUAUGCUUUUUUAGAGAUGUAUAUUCCUUAGAUGUAAAUUUCAUAUUAUUCCAAGAGGUUCGAAUUUGGCAAAUAAACAGUCUGUGUAAUGUU